AACGAACGCUGGCGGCAUGCCUAACACAUGCAAGUCGAACGAGACCUUCGGGUCUAGUGGCGCACGGGUGCGUAACGCGUGGGAACCUGCCCUUAGGUUCGGAAUAACUCCCCUAAAGGGGUGCUAAUACCGGAUAAUGUCUUCGGACCAAAGAUUUAUCGCCUUUGGAUGGGCCCGCGUUGGAUUAGCUAGUUGGUAGUGUAAAAGCCUACCAAGGCGACGAUCCAUAGCUGGUCUGAGAGGAUGAUCAGCCACACUGGGACUGAGACACGGCCCAGACUCCUACGGGAGGCAGCAGUGGGGAAUAUUGGACAAUGGGCGAAAGCCUGAUCCAGCAAUGCCGCGUGAGUGAUGAAGGGCUUAGGGUUGUAAAGCUCUUUUACCCGGGAUGAUAAUGACAGUACCGGGAGAAUAAGCACCGGCUAACUCCGUG
rnacentral:rRNA from 1 species